UACGAAGGGGGCUAGCGUUGCUCGGAAUCACUGGGCGUAAAGCGCACGUAGGCGGAUCUUUAAGUCAGGGGUGAAAUCCCGAGGCUCAACCUCGGAACUGCCUUUGAUACUGGGGAUCUCGAGUCCGGGAGAGGUGAGUGGAACUGCGAGUGUAGAGGUGAAAUUCGUAGAUAUUCGCAAGAACACCAGUGGCGAAGGCGGCUCACUGGCCCGGAACUGACGCUGAGGCACGAAAGCGUGGGGAGCAAACAGG
rnacentral:rRNA from 1 species